GAUAAUUGCCUUCAUCCCGGCUACAAAUUAAUUGAUACUCUAAAUUUUACCAUAUGCUCGGGUAGCUCCGAUGGCCUUUGUCACACAA